AAGGCAUCACACAUGGCAAGCUUGUAUAAACCAAGCCUGAAAAUGGUGCACACCUCUUCUGCUCAUGUGCCAAUAAACAAUCAGGCUGUGGUCACAUCUAUGGGACUAAGUAUUGCCAUCUAGGCUUAUGUACAGGAUGAAGAAGAACUAGGCUUAGUGAGAUUUGAGGGCAGAAGCUCAUGAAUGUAAUUCUAGCACUCAGGAGGCCAAGGAAGGAAGACACAUAUUUAAGGUGAGCCCGGGCUGCCUGUGAGACACUCUAUCAUUUACAAGAAUUCUUGUAAUUAAUGAAUUCUUACCAAAAAUAUCUAUGAUGUAACUCAGGAAACAAUGAAAGAGAUAAGUAGCAUAUCUAGCAAAUGAUGACCUGCUUGUCUACCUUUCAAUAAACUUGAACUCUGACUCUCCUUAAUGAUCUUCUUUAGUGCCAGAUACUGGUUUGCCCAUAGUGUUCAAAGAUGGCUGAAUGUGCUUGAGAUCUGCUCAACUUGCACACAUGUAUAGUGACUAGCUGGAGAGGUAAAACUUCAUUAUCCUCUCAUGCAUGUACCUGUGUAGUAUAAAAAAGAUUGGCCGGGCGUUGGUGGCACACACCUUUAAUCCCAGCACUCAGGAGGCAGAGGCAGGCAGACCUCUGUGAGUUCGAGGCCAGCCUGAUCUCCAGAGCGAGUGCCAGGAUAGGCUCCAAAACUACACAGAGAAACCCUGUCUUGAAACCCCCCCCAAAGCCCCCAAAAGAUUGUAUAGUGAGAGGCACAGGGGUGCAUAUGUACCCCAUAAAUAAUAGCCAUAUAUGCAAAUGCAUUCUUUUACUUGAUGAUAAAAUAUUCAUGCUACUGAGAUUAGGUGGGUAUAUAUUUUAAUGUUCUGACAGAGACAAGACAAAGUAAUGUUUUCACAACUUUCUCAAUUCACUUAUAAAAGUAAUUUUAUCCUCUUUUGCUUAGUAAAAUACCCUCUUUGGGGGAUAGGUAGCUACCAUUAUAUCUCUCAAAAGGGCACAUUAAGGUCCAAACAACCUGAGAUAGCAGCUAGAAAUAUUGCCCUUGUAGAUACAAUCAGGAUAAAGUGAGAACAUACCGAGUUGAGGUGGGCCCUAGUCAGUGGCUCGUGCCCUUGAAAACACAAUUGUGGGUUCAGAAAGGCAUAGGCAGGCAUAGGAGCAGACACCAGAGGAAAGCAGAAACAGCUUGAAGGAUGCGACAGUUCAAGCAGCUCUAAUGUUUGCUGGCCAUCCCCAGAAGCCAGGAAAGAAAUGAGAAAUAGAUUCUUCCUCAGAAACUCCCCAAAGGGACCAGCCUGCCAACACCUUAACUUUCCACUUGCAGCCUUCAGGACUGGAGAGACUCAAUGCCUGCUGUUUAAGCCACCCACUUUAUGGUAAUUUGUUGAGGCAGCUCGAGAAACUCACCCAUAGAUCAUCCCUUGACUUAUGGUACACAUGUUUUCCUCCUAUAAACUUGCAAUGUACACAUUUUCAUGCAUAUAAAGAGAGGUAUGGACAUCAUUAGAACCGUGACGCUGCAUGUUGCCAAAACCUGGGGAUAGCAGCUGCUUUUAUAAAAUCACCUUCCCUACCUCUUAUAAACAAUCGAAUUUGAGAAUACUUUCUAUAACACAGUCAUUGUACAAACAAAGGAGCUUCUGUGUGGUUCAAAUUAGUUAUAUAUGUUUGUCCUGUGAGAAGGUCAUCAGACUGCUCUAUAUACAUGGAAGAAACAGACCAUGUACGAAGCAGAUCUGCUUUUCUAUUCAUGGGUUGUGUCAGUAAGUGGGAGUUUUGCUUCUCUUUAUUUUCCUUCUAAAAUUCUUUAUUUAUUUAGUAUUUAUUUAUAUAGUGCCCCUGUGGCUGUGGAUGUGUUUGUGAGUGUAUAUGUGUAUGUGGGUGCAUGCACAUGUAUGUAUGUAUGUAUGUAUGUAUGUAUGUAUGUAUGUAUUUAGGUAUGUAUGUAUGUAUGUAUGGCUCAGUGUGGAUGUGGGAGUCAGAGGACGUUGGUUCUUUUCUCCCACCAUGUGAGUUCUGUGGACUGAACUUGGGACAUCAGCCUUGGCAGCAAGCUCCCUUUCCUUCUGAGUCAUCUCACAGGCCAGAGUUCUUGCUUUUCUUACACUGCACAUUCACAAUGACAAGCUAGCAAUGCCUGUAGAUGAUUCAGAAAGCUAAUUCACGAAUGAGCUGGAUGGAACUUGUACUAAUUUCCUGUUGAUGCAAUAAAACACCACUACUUUGGUGAUUUAUGGAAGCGAGAGGUUAUCAGAGAGUAUGGUUUCAGAGGGAUUGGGGUUCACCAUGGUAAGAAAGUGUGGCAGCAAGCAGCAGCACGGCAGCAGCAGGAACAGGCUGCUGGGAAUUCAUGUUCCAUCCUUCAAGCACAAAACAGACAGAAGAAACUGGAAAUGGAGAGAGGCAUUUUAUCUCAAAGUUACCUCUCAGUGACUUGCUUCCUCCAGCAAGACUGCCUCAUCCAAACCUCCUCAAACAGCACCACAAACUGGGAUCCAAGUGUUCACAUGCCCGAGACUAUGGUAGACAAUUUCCAUUCAAAUCACCACAACCUCUCCAGACCAGCAACGGGGCUGAAAUGGUGCAUCCCUCACUUUCCAACCAUGAGGUCCUCUCCAUUGCAGCAAGUCAGACACCCAGUGCUCAAGAGUGGGAGGGAGACUUACCGGGGCUUUCUAAGAACCUGCUUAUUUUCUUCCUUCUAAGAACAUACUUGGUGCUGCCAGAACAGUGUUCAUAUUCAAACAUCUCCUUCUUUGGAGAUGCUGGGAUGGGCAACUUAAGGCUUCAGUAGCAUUUGAAAUUCUGUAUCUAGUUAAGAACACAUUUAUGAACUUAAACACCUGUACAUGUCUGUCAGUGUCAGUUUCAUGGAAGAACGGGUUCACAUCAAAUGCCAAAUCCCCUGAUUUACCUGACGUGAGAAUGGAUUAACUGAGGUUAGCUCACUUCUCAAGAACAGUGUUUUAGGAUAGCAAGAUUCCUUAUGCUGAGCAAGAAAGUAGUAAGACAGCAUUAACUGCAAAUGCUCCCCUCAUCCAUCCUUUUAAGCCUCAGGCAAUGCAUGGAAACAUUCCCAGUGCGGUCCUCUGAAUGAACACUUGCUACAGACAUGUGUUACAUUUUAAUGGGGGUGUGUGGCUACAGGAGAAACUGCACUCAAACUAUAUAGUCAACAGGAGUGUGGUGAAGUUUCUUGCAGAGAUGGAAAGAAUUACAUUGUUGACCACAUAAAUGUAAUUUGGGAUAUUUGACAGGCUCCUGUGAUCUGUUUCCAUGUGGUUUAUAAGGCUGGGGACUUUGCUUCUAAGAGUGGUCCCUUCUAACUCUUUAUCCUGAUGGUUGGCUUGUUGGUUUAAGUAAGUACCUUUGACAAGGAAAUUCUUGGAAUUGAAUUAUGUAUAAUGCAAUGUUCAUACACAUUAUAUGUGGUAGAAGAAGAGACAGUGUCAGUAAAUGGUAAAACAACACAUGAAAGGAGUGUGAAGUUUAUAUGUGGAAAGCCUAAUGGAACUAAAAAUGAAAAAAUCAAGUGAUGAAUCUUACUUUUUAAAAGUUGCCAUCUUUCAGUGCGUGCAUUUCUAUGGUGCUGACGACUCUUCUUUUAUAUGGCCUUAAGACAUCAUGGAAAAAAUAUGGAUACAAAAUAAAAUAUACAUUCAAUAUUGAAACAUGGUUAUAAUGGUAGUACAAGUUUUUUUUUCUUUCUUUAAUUUGGAGUACCGAGUUUUUUUCCAUUUGAACCUGGUAAUAUAAGAGGAAAAUUCUUCAGGGUAUAGAAAUUACAUUCAUUCUAACCCAAAAUUUCUAAGAUCUUCAUUUUUGGUCUUUUAACUAGUUUCUGUCAUUUUUUUCUAAUAAAACAUUAUGAAUUGUUAUAUUCAUGGCUUUGGGAGGAAUAUGAAAGACUUUGGGACUUUCAACUAGAAAAAAAGCAGUUAAAUACUAUAAACAGUGAUUAAUGGGCCAUCCUGGUAGGAGUGUGUAAGACAGGGAUGAGAACAGUAUGGCCUUGGGAGACUCAAAAGGUUUCAGAGGAGAACAAUAUGAGCAAUGUGGCUAGAGAUUGUUCUUGGGAUAUUUUGAUAAGAGAUGUGGCUGUCUUCUGCCUAGCUCCUAAUAAUUGCCUGAGGUUAAAAGUGUAAAAGUAAUGGACAUUUUCUUUGGCAGAGGAGAUUUCUCAAGAUAGUAUAAUAUUGACUCUAUCACAUAGUUACUAGUAAUCACUCUGAUUUAGGUCUACAAUGAAAAAAAUAAGCAAGUGGGGAAAAAGAUACAAAAUACACAGUUUGAAGAGAAAAGGAACAUGAAGAAACUUAAUGCUGCAGCCAGGGAUGGUGCUGAAAGAGGUAAGGAGUUGAGAAAUGGGAUCAGCUUUGGAACAAGGGAAAGGAUGUCCUCAGGGCAAGACCCUGCCCAGUUUAUUUUUCAGUUGGUGAAAGGAGAAAGCCCAAAGCUUUUUCUGCUCCUAGGUAGGAAUAACAAACACACUACUGCAAAUGUGUGUUUCAAGUGGGCCAGAGUCUACUCCAAGCUGACAGUGGAACUUGGCCAUGCUGUUCAUGUAGUGUCUCUUUGCUUUCAGAGAGCCAUUGAUGUCUGGCAAUAUGUGGCAAGGGAGUCCCUGCAUGAAGGCUCUGAGAGGAGGAUGGGGAUCUAUGGAUUCAUUCUAGGCUAUGGUUUGAUCAAACAAGACCCCCAGAAAGCAGUGUCCCGAUGAUCCAACAUCCGAAACAACUGAGACAAUGAAGCAUCACAGAAUACUUCAACCAAGAUUUGGCCAUGGUUCUGGGUUUUCGCAGGAUCCCUAUGGGAUUGACAGCAACCCCAGAUAGCAGGAAACAGUUUGGAGAUAACUAUGCCCAAAUUCCUAAAUAUUGUUUAUAAUUGUUUGUUUUAUUUAAACAGGGUUGAUUAUAAAUGUUUGAUUAUAAUGGUUAAUCUCUUUCUAAAGGAUAAAAAGGAUUAUAAUAUAGAAAUAAAUACUUUGCAUUGGUAUGGAUUCUGGUUUAGUGAUAAAAAUUUAAGGUCAAUCUUGCUAUAUGUAUAUUUCUACUCUUGUUUAGGUGGUGUGUUUAUAUAGCUCAUUUUAAAAUGUAUAAUUAAAAUCUAUUACAGAUUAAUAGAUAGUCACCUAUAAUAAUCAAAACUUAUACUCAUGUUAGGUUUUCUAGAUAUACAGAGAUAUAUUUCAGAUAAAUAGGCAUUCUUGAAAAACUUUCAAAGACCUACAGAAUAUGACAUUUAAAAUGCUUUGUUAACUUAGGGUUUCUCAUGACAAUGAGACACAUAUGCACCUGGCAUAACGAAUUAUGUCAGAGAGGAAGAUGGGCAUUGAAGAAACUCUUAAGGAGUUUGCCUUCAAUAUGGUAGGGUUAGCCACUUGGACAAGAAACUGCUCUUGCCUGGACUGUUUGAGAGCAUGCUGUUCAAACUGGAUAUGCAGUUCACAGAGAAAAGUGACUGCUGAACUUUCCAAGAGACAGGAUGGUCCUUCAGGGUUCAUGCUUCACAGAAAAGUGCCUGCCAGACACUCUAGGCCUAUAGGCUGAAAGAUGGAUGCCCUAGUGUUACAGAGAAACUUUAGGUGACUGCCCAGGCAACAGAUAUCUCUGUUAAUUCUAGAAUGCAUUUUAUAUCCUUCUGGGAUAAUUUAUGGAGUUGAAGACAGAUAGUUAUAGUUAUUUUUAUUAGUUAUAAUAAAAGAUAAAUUACAGAUAAAACUUUAGACUCACAAAAAUAGUAUAGAUGAUAGAAUAUUUUCUUUAAAUUUUGCAAAUGUAAAUGGACUAAAUAUUGUAACCACAAUUAUUGCUUGAUAGUAGUUUUGUUAUAUAUAAAUUUACUAUGUUAAAGUUAAAACCUUCCUUUUUAUUUAGACAGAAGAGGGGAAAUGGUGGUGGAUGUCCUCUGUAUGCUUUGACUAUGUGUUUCUCUUAUUGGUUGAUGAAUAAAGCUGAUUCAGAAUUUAGCUAGGCGUGAAUUCCAAAGAGACAGGGAAAAGAAAGAUAAAGAGCAAACAGCAUAUAGUGACCAGGGAGUCGAGAUAACAGCACAUCACUGGUAAACCAAGGCCAUGUGGUGAUACACAGUUUAAUAGAAAUGGAUUAAUAGGGCUGGAGAGAUGGCUCAGCGGUUAAGAGCACUGACUGUUCUUCCAGAGGUCCUGAGUUCAAUUCCCAGCAACCACAUGGUGGCUCACAACCACCUUGUAUGAGAUCUAGUGCCCUCUGCUGGCAUUCAGGCAGAAGACUGUAUACGUAAUAGAUAAAUAAAAUCUUUUUAAAAAAGAAAUGGGUUAAUAAUUAAGAGAGAGCUAGCCAGUAAGAAGCCUGAGCCAUUGGCUAAACAAUUGUAAAUGAUAUUAAGUCUCAGAGUGGGUAUUUCAUUAAGAGGCUGUGGGACACAGUGGGCAUAGAGAAAACUGGAUCAAUUGGACCCACAAUAGAUAGCGAAAAGUCUCCCUCCCUCUACACUAGAGCUAUGAGAAAUCUGCCAGAAGAGAUGCACAUAGGGUGUGGGCCCAGCCUAAAAGAAAUAUGUGUGUCGCAGGCACAAAAGCUGGAGAGGUGUGGCCAGCUAAGCCUUUUGACAUGACACUUGAAGCUACAGGAUUUAGAGUUUGCCUUGCUGAGUUUUGGUCUUGCUUUGAUCCAUUAUUUCCUCAUUAUGCUCCCCUUCAUCCCUUUCAGAAUGGCAAUGCAUACUCUGUGCCUUUGUAUAUUGGAAGCAUGUAAUUUGCUUUUUUUUCUAUGACAAAAACAUAAUUAUUUUAUUUCUGUACUUUAAAAGUCUAGUCUAGUUUUUCCACUUAAAUAUUAUAAUAUAUAGGGAAUGUUCAACUAGAAUUAUAUUGAAUAAAAAUAUUCUUACACUCUAUAAGUUGUUUUUUCUGUCAGGAAUGACAUCAAUAUUAUAAAACAUAUAUUUGCAAUAAUGUCUUAAAUAAAUAUAUUCUAUUAAUAAUAAAUGGAGCCAAAACCAUUUACACAACUGCUACAGAAGUAUGGUUUUGAAGUUUCUGCUUCAAAGCUGAUGUUAGUUGUCAUGUUUAUGUUUCAUUUGGCUUACCUUAGAAUAAUUGCUCCAGUUUUCUUUUUUAUUUUCUUUUAGUUGCAUAUAUUUUGUAAUUUUUUUAUUUAGUUCAAAUUAGGAACAAGCUUGCUUCACAUGUCAAUCCCUUUUCCCUCUCCCUCCCCUCCCCCAACCUUUCCCCCCCAACCUCUCACCUAGCCCCUACUCCAUCCACUCUCCAUUCCCCAGGCUGGGUAGGGCCCUCAACAGGGGCUCCCCAAAGUCCACCACAUCAUCCUGGGACGGGCGUAGGCCCUCUCCCAUAUCUCCAGACCAAUACGUGGGAUGGGCUCUCAAAGUCGCUUCUUAUACCAGGGAAAAAUACUAAUCCACUACCAGGGGCCCCCUAGAGUGCAGAGGCCUCCUCAUUGACAUCCAUGUUCAGGGGUCUGGAUCAGUCCCAUGCUAGUCUCCCAGACAGCAGUCUGGGGUCCAUGUGCUCCCCCUUGUUCAGGCCACCUGUUUCUGUGGGUUUCAGCAGCCUGAUACCAACCCUUUUGAACUUCAUUCCUCCCUCUCUGCAACUAGGUUCCAGAGUUCAGUUCAGUGUAUAUCUGUGGAUGUCUGCCUCUGAUUCCAUCAGCCACUGGAUGAGGGCUCUUGGAUGGCAUAUAAAGUAGUCAUCAGUCUCAUCAUAGUGGAAGGGCAUUUAGGCUAUCCUUUCCACCAUUGCCUAGAUUGUCAGUUUGUGUCAUCCUUGUAGGUCUCUGGAAACCUCCCUAGUGCCCCAUCUCUCCUAGGACCUAUAAUAGCUCGCUCUGAUAUGGUAUCUCUCAUCCUGCUCUCCUCUAUUCUUCCCCCAACUCAACAUUUCUGCUACUGCAUUUCCUCCUCUCCCCCCUCUUCUUCUCCUCUCAUUCUGAGAGCUCCCUCUCCCCUACCCUCAUGCUCCCAAUUAGCUCAGGAGAUCCUGCCCUUCCCAUUCUCUGGGGUCCAUGCAUUUUUCCCUUAGAGUCCUUCUUGUUUCCUAGUUUCUUCAGUGAUGAGGAUUGUAGGCUGGUAAUCCUGUGCUCUAUGCCUAAAAUUCAUAUAUGAGUGAGUAUAUACCAUGUUUGUCUUUUUGUGACUGAGUUAUCUCACUCAGCAUAGUUUCUUCUAGUUCCAUCCAUUUGCCUGCGAAUUUCAAGAUUCCAUUGCUUUUUUUCUGCGGAGUAGUACUCCAUUAUAUAAAUGUACCACAUUUUCUCAAUCCAUUCUUCAGUUGAGGGGCAUCUAGGUUGCUUCCAGUUUCUGGCUAUUACAAACAAUGCUGCUAUGAACAUGGUUGAACAUAUGUCCUUCUUGUAUGAAGUGCAUUAAUUGAUUAUAUGCCCAAGAGAGGAAUGGCUGGAUCUUGAGGUAGACUGAUUCCCGUUUUUCUGAGCAACUGCCAUACUGAUUUCCAAAGUUGUCUUACAAGUUUGCACUCCCACCAGCAAUGUAGGAGUGUUUCUUUUUCUCCACAUCCUCUCCAGCAUAGAUUGUCAUUGGUGUUUUUGAUUUUAGACAUUCUGGCCGGUGUAAGAUGGUAUCUCACUGUUGUUUUGAGUUGCAUUUCUCUGAUGGCCAAGGAUUUUGAGCACUUUCUUAAGUGUCUUUCAGCCACUUCAGAUUCCUCUGUUGAGAAUUCUCUAUUUAGUUUUGCACCCCACCUUUUAAUUUCAUUGAUUGGUGUUUUGGUGGCUAGCUUCUUGAGUUCAUUGUAUAUUUUGGAAAUGAGUCCUCUGUCAGAUGUGGGGUUGGUGAAGAUCUUUUCCCAUUCUGUAGGAUGUUGAUUUGUCUUUCUGACUGUGUCCUUUGCCUUACAGAAGCUUCUCAGUUUCAGGAUGUCCCAUUUAUUAAUUGCAGAUCUCAAUGUCUGUGCUACUGGUGUAAUGUUCAGGAAGCAGUCUCCUGUGCCAAUUCGUUCAAGGGUAAUUCCCACUUUCUCUUCUAGAAGAUUCAGUGUGGCUGGAUUUAUGGUGAGAUCUUUGAUCCAUUUGCACUUAAGUUUUGUGCAUGGUGACAGAUAUGGAUCUAUCUGCAAUCUUCUGCAUGUCCAAUCCAGUUGUGCCAGCACCAUUUGUUGAAGAUGCUAUCUUUUUUCCAUUGUAUAGAUUUAGCAUCUUUGUCAAAAAUAAGGUGUUCAUAGGUGUGUGGGUUAAUAAUCAGCGUUUUCAAUUCGAUUCCACUGGUCUAAGAAGUUACAAUUAAAAGAGAUUUUCUUGAGUCUCAACUUUGGAUUUUGGACUUUUAAACAGUGUGUGACUGUGAAAGACUAUGGAGACUUUUAAAAUUGGUCUAAAUGCAUUUUUCAUUAUGAUGGGGCUGCAAGCAUUUGGGGAACAAGGAGUGAAAUAUGGUGGUUUGAAAGAGAAAUGUCCUCCUUAAUCUCAAGAAUUUGAAUACUUGGUCCCAGUUGGUGUUACUGUUUGGGAAACUAGAAGUGUGGCCUUGCUGGAGGAAGGCUUUGAGGGUUUAAAGGCUCACACUAUUUAAAGUUGUCUUUCUGUUUCCUACUUGCAGUUUUAGAUACAUGUUAUCAACUGUUCUAGUCACCAUGCCUGCAUGCUGCAAUGCCUCCCAGACAUGAUGGACCCUUAUCCUUCUAGAACAGUAAACCCAAGUAAUUGCUCCCUUCUCCAAGUUGCUUCUGCUCAUGGUGUUUUAUCAAAGCAAUAGAAAUGUAACUACUACGGAAUAAGAAAGGCCUAGUUGAUUCUCUGUUUUGAAGGUUUCAGUCCAUGUCAGUCAGCCCCGCUGCUUUUGGCCUGUGCAAAGACAGAAUAGCAUGUUGUAAACACAUGGUGGAGGCACCCCUCUCACUUCAUGUCUGGGGAAUGAGAGAAAAACGUUGAGUCUCAACUUUGGAUUUUGGACUUUUAAACAGUGUGUGACUGUGAAAGACUAUGGGGACUUUCGAAUGCAUUUUUCAUUAUGAUGUGGCUGCAAGCAUAUGGGGAACAAGGAGUGAAAUGUGGUGGACUGGACUUAUCCUAAUGGUUCCAAGCAGAGCUUUGCUUUCUGUGUCACAGAACUUGUCAAAACAGCAAAAGCUCCAAAAUUUUUAUUAAAAGGCUGAAUUUCUGAUUCCCUAUGUGAAUUGAUGAAGCUUACCACACUGGGUGGCCAGUAAUUUCUGCCCUUUGUCUUAUUCAAAAGCUUUUAAAAAUGAAAAAAAAUGUAAUGAGUUUUUUUUUGAAGAAAGGAGAAAAGAAGAAAUAGAAUCCAGAAUCCCUAGCUAAGAAUUUCAAAACUAAUUUCUUAGAAUUCAAAGCAAUGAGCUCAGUCAGCUUAGCUAAUAGAGAAUGCUAUAGAAUUGGUACACCUGCUUCUCCAGGACAUUUAGUGUUACAGUAUUUCCAGGGAUUGGUUGGGGUACUGGAGAAAAUCAGGUUACUCCCAAAUGCAUGGCGUGCAUAAAAACACUCCCCUCAGAAAUAAACACAUCACAGAAUCAGGACAUGUAUAUAAUACAAAUUAAAAACAUAAGUUAUCAUUUUAAAGUAUCCAAUUUUAUGCUAACAUUAAAUGCUGAUAAGAGGUGAAUGGGAUGGACACUUUCUACAUACUGUUCUCUAGAUAGUUCUGCUAAGAAUUUUGACACUGGGGUGAGGAGGAGGGGAGGGAGAGGGAUAAGGGAUUGACAUGUGAAACAAGCUUGUUCCCUAACUAGAACUAAUAAAAAAAAAGAAUUUUGACACUGUGUACAAAAGAUGUUCAGACAUGGUGUUUCAUUAAUCCUAAUUCUAUAAAGCAAUGUAAGAUGUACCCUAAAGACUUAGGAAUAAUGAUGUUCAAUGUAAUUAUUAUAAUAUUAUGGAAAACAAACUGGAAGUUUUAAUAUCCAGUAAGAGAUCUAAAUAAAUAGAAUUUAAUCCAAAUAAUCUAAAUAGAAUUUGUCUGUUCAUUAAGCAAAUGAGACUCAAAGCAGAUCCCAGGGAUUCACAAUUGAAACCUGAAUCUUCCCAGAAUGUGUCAGAGCCUGUGAUCUUGGAGCAGGGAAGAAUGAGGAAGCCGGUGAGGAAGGUCUAAAAGCAUAGAUACAUCUGUUCAACUAUGUUCAUAGCAGCAUUAUUUGUAAUAGCCAGAACCUGGAAGCAACCUAGAUGCCCCUCAACUGAAGAAUGGAUAGAAAAAAUGUGGUACUUUUACACAAUGGAGUACUACUCAGCCAGAAAAAAACAAAACAAACAAACAAACAAACAAAACAAUGGAAUCUUGAAAUUCGAAGGCAAAUGUAAGAAACCAUUCUGAGCGAGGUAACCCAGUCCCCAAAAGGCAAACAGGGUAUGUACUCACUCAUAUAUGAAUUUUAUACAUAGCGCAAAGGAUUACCAGCCCACAAUCCACACUGCCAGAGAAGCUAGGAAACAAGGAGGACUCUAAGAGAGACAUACAUGGUCCCCCAGAGAAGGAGAAAGGGACAAGAUCUCCUGAGCAAACUGGGAGCAGGAGGGGAAAUUGAGCCAGGAGAAUGAGAAGGGGAGAAGAGGAGAAGAGGAGGUGUGAGGAGGACAUGAGGGAGCAGGAAGUUUGAGUUGGGGGAAGAAUAGAGGAAAACAAGAAAAGAGAUACCAUAAUACAGGGAGCUAUUAUAGGUUUAAAGAGGAAAUCAGGCACAAUGGAAAUGUCUGGAGAUCUACAACGAUGACACCAACUAACAAUCUAAGCAACAGAGGAAAGGCUACCUUAAAUGCUCUCCCCUGAUAAUGAGAUUAUGACCGACUUUAUGCUAUCCUAUAGCCUUUACCCAGCAGCUGGUGGAAAUGGAAGCAGACACCCACAGCUAAACACUGAACUGAACUGGAGAGAAGGAGGAGUGAUGAGCGAAGGGGUCAAGACCAGGCUGGAGAAACCCACAGAAACAGCUGACCUGAACAAGGAAGAGCUCUUGGUCCCCAGACUGAUAGCUGGGGAACCAUCAUGGGACUGAUCCAGACCCCAUGAAUGUGGGAGUCAGUGAGGAGACCUUGGGAAUCUAUGGGGCUUUUUUUGUAGUAGAUAAGUACUUAUCCCUAGCAUAGGAAUAGACUUUGGGAGCCCAUUCCACAUAGAGGGAUACUUCUGGAGUCUAGACACAAGGGGGUGGGCCUAGGCCCUAUCCCAAAGGAUGUGACAGACACUAAAGACCUCCUAUGGAAGACCUCACUCUCCCUGGGGAGCAGAAGGAGUAUGGGAUAGGUAGGGGGCAGGGGAAGAGGGGAGGCAGAGGGAACUAUAAAAUAAAUAAAAAUGGAGAGAAAGAAAAAAUAAAGCAUGGAUAUCUGAGGAAGUUCUAAACCAUGGAUACCUACCCAGUUAGAGUCACCACUGCUACCGACAUGGGAAUCUAUGCUCUCAGACACAUGCUGGCACCAAUGGCUUGAUGUGUUCCAUCGAUCUGAAAGAAAACCGGACAGUAUUCAGAUGUGAUCCCAUGUCAGUGGCCGAAUCAACAGUACUAUGAAAUGAAUGAUGACUCUAGCCAAGGCCUGCCUCUAGACUGAGCUCACUGACUCAGAGAAAUGGGGUUCUUGGAUAAACAAAAAGGGAAGCACUGGGCUUUAGUUCUGUAUCUAUGACUUAUUCCUAAAAUGUAAAGGUGUUUGAAGUCCCACCUGAAGUUGGGAGGCAAAUCAAAUCAAAGAGAUAUGUCGGUGGAUGGAUGCUUAUAGAAUGAUGCAAGCGAAAAACGUAGAAGUAUCUUUCCUUUCUCUCUGGGUGGUGAGAUUUUACAUGAGCCUAAAUUUCUUCUCAAUAAUUCUUCUUGUUUAAACAUUCUCUUGGCAUUUAUUAUUAAGAAUCAUCCUUCCAGAGUUGGAUAGUCUCUCCCAUUAACUACAUUUAACUUCCAAAAGAGCCAUAUGGUAGACACUUGGAUUUUAAUCUUACCUAAGCUUUAUAAAGUUCCUGGGGCUUGGAAUAUAUUUCUAGCUUGGGAAAGCUUUAAAACUCCCCUUAAGUCAUACCUCAUAGGCAGACAGAUACCCAUCCACUCUAAUUCCCAAGAAGCUCGCUGAUGGACCUGUUUUGUGUCAGGAGAGCAUUUAAAGUGGGGAUGAACUGUUUAAAUAUUUCCACAGAUGGCACUGAGUCACAUUCACACCCAAAGCUGGUUUUCUCCAAGUUCUUGAGGAACUAGUCUGGACAACAAGAAAGGCAAGUGGUUUUUGAUUUGAGAGGUUCAACUUUCACUGGCCACAGGACUGGGGCUCCUACUAGUCUGGGCCUGCUGCUUGGCUCUCAGCACCAUCUCUUGGAUUUAUCCCUUCCACACCUUAGAGGAUGGAAAUUUGUGGCUACUAUUAAAUUCUGCAGAGCUUUGAAAAAAGAAUGAAAAGGGGAUGAAGGAAAUGUGAAAUGUUUCUAUUCAGCCUUGGAAACAAUCUGUAGAAUAUUCUAGAACGAAAUUGCCAUUCCUGGGAGGCUUACAAGCUUUUUAUGGAGGCAAGAAGAGAUUUGAUAUAUAUUAAGUAUUUAAUAGACCAUCUCCAAAAUGUUUCUUUUAAAGGGACAUUGUAACUUUUUAUCACUUGAAUGAUGAGCAUCAUAAAGUCUUAAUAGAGGCUGAACUGCCAGAAUGGAAGCCCUUGUUCUCAUCAGCAGAGAAAAUGUGACAGAUUGGAACACGAAAUUUAGUGUGACAAUUCUUGAACUCCCCCAGCCCUGGAAAAUAAUUGGAGAGCCAUACCACAGAUUUUCUUUCCCAGAGUUAAGAACCACUCGUAAUGAUUUCUAAAAAGAGUCUGUCUUUGCAAUCUGUGUUCUAAGUUACACAGAAUAAGGAAAUCCAUUUUAUUUUACUGAAGCUGAUUGUUUAAGUUACGGGUUCACAGGACAGUGUUGCUAUUACAAGGGACUUUAAAAAGAAUUAUUAAAAAUUGAAACUUCAGAAAUUUUGAAAGUAUUUCUUUGCACUCCUUAAGUUUAUGGCCUUGUAAAAGCCAUGGUGCUUUACACUGAGCUCAACGCUAGAGUGUGUUUGAUUCAUUCACUGUGAGAAGAAACAGUUUUGUGGAUAAUUCAAGUUCCCAACUUUUUCUCACCCAAGUACAAAUACUGCAUCAUUUUACAGCCAUAGCAUGGUUUAAAUGUCUUCGUGCUCCAUUUUCUCAUGUGCAGUUCAUCUUAAUGAGUAUUAAUGGUGUAAAGUUGAAAGGAUACACUUGUUCUGUGAAAGCUUUAACUUGUGUCUGAGUGUUAUUUGGUAGUAGAAAGGUCCCGAGAUUCUGUAGAGAAAUCAGAGGGAAGAGGGGACAUCCAGUGGCUCAGUGGCACUGGAGGGGCCCACAGGGAGGUCUGGGCUGUGCCUCUGGUGUCAACACUGACUCACUGUGGGCCAGGCUGCUUGCCUGGGCCCCAGCUGAGAUCUUUGCAAAUGGACCUGAAAUUUUGUUUGACCCAAAGUUGUUGGUUUCAUAGUUUAAAGAAACUGUCCCACCUCAUGUCACAAGAUUAAAAUAUCUUCAAUAGAAAACUUAAGAAACACAGCAAAGAGACAAAAAGAAAAAAAUUCCUCAUAAUUUAACUAUGAGGCAAUAGACUCUGGUUAUAGCUUGUUAGACCUUUCUUUGGCAGGUACACAGCCAGGGUUUUGAUGUGAGAAUAGUAAGUGGAAAUGGGGCUUCCUAAGGCCAUUAGGGAGUAUCUCUUAGGUGCCUUUUGAUUGAAGAGAUUGGUUCUCUUUUGCCAUUCUUCUUUCUUCAUGUGAUGACAUAGUCAGAGGCCAUUACUAGAUGCCAGGUCAUGAACUUGAAUUUUUCCACUUACAGAAUUUUAAGAAAUACAUAUCUGUAGGUGGGGUUUUCUAUUGGGACUGCCAGCUUCCCAAAUAACCACACAGAGACUUAUUAUUAAUUAUAAAUGCUCCGUUGGUAGCUUAGGCUUGUUACUAACUAGCUCUUAUAUCUUAAAUUAACCCAUAUUUCUUAUCUACACUCUACCAAGUGGUGGUACCUUUUUCAAUGUGGCAUGUUCAUCUGGCUGGUGACUCAACCUUCUCCUUCCUCAUGCUCUCUUUUUGUCUGCAAUUCCUGCCUAAAAUAUAUUGGCCACUUUAUUAAACCAAUGCAAGUGACAAAUUUUCACAGUGUAAAACAGGAUUAUUUCACAGCACAUUUCUCUUCUCUGAAAGCUACAGUCUCAGAUAUUAUGUUUAUGGCAUCAGAAAAUGGAUCAACACACAACAUAUAAAAGUAUAUAAAAACAUAUACUUUUCUUUACAUUGCCAAUAGCAACAUAUCAUUUAUGUUGUUAUUAUUAAUGUUUAAUGCCUUUCCAUGCCAACUGAUAUUUUCUAUGUAACUACCGUAUAAUCAUCACAGUAUGACUAUAGGGUAGUGCACAGGUUUCUGUGAUCUCCAUGGCUGGCAGAGUGACAAUCCUCAGGAAGCAAGAGUAGUUCCAUUCAACACUACUAAGUAGACAGUGUUGAUUCAAACUUUGGGAGUCUGACCUUGAGUGGUUUAUUUUAGACAUUUUUAAGCACAGCACAAUUUAAUGGAAACUUUUCUGGUGAUAAUUAGCUCAGUCCUGUAUGCACAAUAAACCAUACAUAAAUCUCCUUGAGAAACAAAGUAGGCUAAAUAAAGAUUGGAUGUGGCCAUAUCGAAACUCUUUAUAAAGUAUGUUACACCUUCUAUAGAUUGACAGAAAAACGAAUUUGUAGCAUGGAGCUGGGAAAAGAUUCUUUGUGGUCUCUGGCCACAUGGACAGUGCAAAGGUCACUAGCCUAGAAUGCAUGUCCACUUCCAGCCUUGAGAAGAUAAUAGGUAAUGACCUUGUGUGCUAACAUUCCAGGGUCCCCUACUGUUUGUCUGUAAACACAAGGACCUCCAUACCUCCUACAAGUCAGUAUCUGUAUUUCAUUGUACAUGUGUUCCAUAAUUUAUUAUAUGCCCAUUGGUGGAAUUUAUCUUGUUCUAAUGUUUUUCAAUUAUAUAUAAUAACAAAAUGGGAAACCUAAAAAAAUUCUCACAGGUAACCACUCAAUCAUUUAACAUGGAAAGACAAUUGUAAAGACUAUUGAUUCUCAGCUAGUGCACACAUGAAAUACAUCUUUCUGUGCUUGAAAUAGCAAUGAUACCCUCAAAGGCAGGAAGAUCUUGUGAUGUUUACAUUUGAAAAUGCUCAAGAGACUACAGCGUUGAUUAUGAUGGUUACAAAUGAGAAAUCCAGCUGGUUUUUCAAUCAUAACAGAACAGUAACAUAACAGAAUCAUAAUGAUCUUUAAAUAGAAGGUUUGGGCACCUCUUGCACAAUGCCUGGCAGUGUAGCCAUUCUGCCUGGGCUAAUUUGUAAUCAUAUCACUUCUUAGUGCCAGCCUGAGGCCACACAUACUUCUAUAGAAGCUUACUGGCCUAGAAAGGGGCCCUGGCUUUGGAAUCAGCUUUCUAUUCUCUUCUUGCUUCUCUGGCCUGUGGAAAGAAAACUAACAUAGGGCUGUGGCAACAAAUAUGAACACAACUUAUGAAAGUGAGUUAUGAUUUCUAAAACAUCACAUGAAUAUAAUUCAUCCCCAUCACUAUUCUCACUGUAAUAAAAUACUAGUACUUCAAAUGCUGCACAUGUGUUUAGUUAAAUACUGUAAGUGCCCUUUGUCAUGGAGCAUAUAGGAAGUAUUACAUUAUCUUCUCAGUGAGCCUCUGAUUCAACCUGUGCUAUGAGGCAGCUUGUCCUCUGGGUCCAUUUGUCUUGUGCUUGUCAUACAGUUGGUGUUCUAUCCAGAGUGAAGAGACCGUGAUUGGGAGAUGUGCAAGCAUGAAGACCUGAAUUCAGAUUCUCAGCAACCAUGUAAAAAUUGGGUGCAGGGACCUGCUCCUGUAAGCCCAGAGGUAAGGAGGAGGCAAAGAUAGGCAGACCUCCACAGCUUGCUAGUUAGUCCGUCUAGAACAAAUCUGCAAAUUUCAAGUUCAGUAGGAGAUGUAUAUAUGUGAGGGUAUGUGUGUGUGUGUGUGUGUGUGUGUGUGUGUGUGUGUGUGUCUGUGUGUGGUGCAAGUAUGAAUGUGUAUGCAUAUAUUUGAUGUUGAUGUGUGAAUGUGAUUUGGUGUGCAUGUGUAUAAUAUGCAUGUGUAAAUCAUAUGUGUGUGGUGCAUGUGUAAUGUGCAUGUGUGAGUGUAUGUGUGUGAUAUUAAUGCCUGGAUGUGUGUAUGUGUGUGAUGCUGACAUGAAAUGUUGAUGUGUGAAUGUAUGUGUGUGUGUGGUGUACAUGUGUAAUUAUGUGUGUGAUGUUGGUGUGUGUGUGUGUGUGUGUGUAUGUGUGUGUGUGUUGUGCAUGUGUGAGCAUGAGCAUGGGAAUAUAGGGGCCAGAAUUGCAAGAGUCAGCUUUCCCCUUUCAUGUGGAUUCUUGGGAUUGAACUGAAGUCAUAAGGUGCACAUGGCAAUUGUUUUUACCUUGUAAAAGCUGCUUUUAAUGCUAAAUUCAAAUCUGUUUCUUGACAGUCUUUAGGAAAUCCAGACCACAGUUUCUGCCUCUUCCCUCUUCCUCACUUAGGCUUCACCAUUCCUCAGCCUGUAGUAAUGGGCACUAACGCCUACUUAAAAAGGUACAAUGGCAAUUACAUAAUUUAAUGCAACCUUGUCAAGUUGGAGGAAGUGAAUUCAAAUCAAUGUGGCUGAAGAACUUAGGUCUUUCUGCUGCGCGUAAUUACCAUCAGGGUGUUAUGAUCCAAGUAAACUCCACCUAGCUUUCAUCACUGGGACAAAUGCCAAAGGGAAGCAGCUUGAAAGAAGAGUUUAUCAUGGCUCACAGUCUCAGAGGUUUCAGGUCAUAGUCACUUGACUCUGUUGCUUUGGAUCUGUGGCAGCACAGUGCGACAUGGUAUGUGUGCAUUCCAGAAGGGGCACAUUCACUUGAUGGUAUCAAGAAGCAAAGACAGAGAGAGGAAGGUACUGGGCUCAUGUGCUCUACAACCUACCUUUCUUCCACUGGGCCCAGCUCUUGAGGGUUUGACCACCUCCACAGGCUGGUUACAAAAUCUCUGAGGCUAGAAGUGUUAACACUUGAGCAUUUAGGUGACACUUCUGAACCACAGAAAAGUCCCCUUUUUCUAGUCCACACAAAUAUCAUAGUAAUCUCAAUAUUAAUAUUGUCACCAGCGUGCUCUAGCCAUCCUAUUUUUGCUAAUAAGUUUCAGUAUCUUGAGAAAUUUCAUGUCCCUUCCCACUGCCCAGUUAGUCUGCAGUGCCUAACCUCCUCUGCAAGUGAGCUUAGUGUCUGUUGUGACUGCGGCCUCCAGGAUUCCGCUCUUGAUCCUCGCUGCUCUUUGCCAGACUGAGCUGCCCUCCUGAUCUAACCAUUGUUUCUAUUUGUCUUUGAAAUUUAGCUACUUUAGUUUGAAAUUACUUAGAUAAUGAAAUUUACUGAUUAAUAAUAAAAACUUUCGUUUUUAGACAAUUAAAAUCAGAAAAUUCUUUCAUUUAUUUAUCUGAAAUACAUGUUCCUCUCUUUCUUAUAGAUAUUUCCCCCUCUGUCAUUAGGAACAAUUUACACUAUAUUUCCUUUUUUUCUGCAGCAUAUAAUGUAUGUUGGCUCUAUCUCCCCUUCUCUCCUUUUUCUUCUUCCCUCCCUCCUUGCUUCCCUCCCGUCUUCCUCUUCUUCCUUCUAUUUCCAGUGGGAUGAGAUGAGAUUAUAUGAUCAGUGUCUUAGUGAGGGUUUCUAACCCUGUGAGGAGACACCAUGAUCACGGCAACUCUUAUAAAGGGAAACAUUUAAUGAGGCAGCUUGCAGUUUCAGAGGUUUAGUCUGGUAUUAUCGUGGUGGGACACGGCAGCAUGCAGGCAGACAUGGAGAAGUAGGUAAGUGUCCUACAUCUUCACUUACAGGCAGUAGGAAGUGGUCUGGGAUUCUGGGUGUGGUUUGUGCAUAUAUGAGACCUGAAAGCCUGCCUCCACAGUGACACUCUUCUGCAAACAAGACCACACCUACUCUAACAAGAUCACAACUCUAUGGGCCAAGCAUUCAAACACAUGAAUCUGUGGAGUUAUUCCUAUUUAAACCUCCACAAUCAGGCCAUGAGGGUGGGGUUCUCAUGAGUGAGAUGAGUGCCAUUAUAGGAAGAGACUCCUGUCCUGCGCUAACCGUCUCGCCAGCAAAAACGACGCGGCACACUCCUCAGGAUCCUUCUGCAGUAAAGCUUUAAUGCAUCUUGAGAGAGAGAGCAUAAGCUUACAGAGCAGAGACUCUGAACACCCAAAACCCCUCCCUUAUAUAGGCUGGCAACCGCCGCCUCAGAAGUGUGACUCUCUGACUGGCUGAAGCUCGUCGGACCAUAUGACGUCAGCUGAUUGGACCAUAUGACGUCACGGGAGGGGCGGAGACUAAGGGCUGGAAAGUUACAAAGUUACCUAGUGCGCAUGCGCACUAGCUUGUAACCGCUCCUUACAGACUCCAAAGGGACUUUUUGCCUUUUCUGCAAUUUGAGGACACCAGGAAUAUCUUAGUAUGAAGAUGGAAGCAGUUCUUCACUGGAUGACAACGUUACUGAUACCUGAGUCUGACAACUUUACUGAUACCCAAGUCUUGAACUACCAAGUUACCAGGACUGUGAGGAAUAAGUACUGCUAAGCUGCCUGGUCAGUGGAUAUAGCAGCCACAUCACACAUUAAUGAUAAUAAUCCCUAUUAAAAUAGCCCACCUUGCAUUUGACCAUGACCUGCCUGAGGUUGACUACAUGGUGAUUGAGGAGGAGGAAGAGCUGGAAGGGAUCUUUAGGAGGGUCAGGCUAAUUAGGGCAAUGAAAAUGUUUGGUAGACUUCUAUAAAAGGACAGUCAAGCAACUAGUGUAACAUAAAAUAAUAACAAAAUCCCUCAGAAACAGGCAAGACCUAAAAGCUUCCCAUGGAAGAGGCAACUUGUCAAGGAAAAUAUUAGAGGAAAAAUACAUUUCUAAAAGAAAUUUGUCAGUAGAUGAAGGAAGUCUCUUUGGCAAAUAUGUUGCUCUGCAACUACAGAAAGUUCCCCAGUAAGGCUUACGUUUGGCCAUGCUUUUCUUUCUGAGGUUUUAUAUGGUUCGAAGUAUUUAAAUUGUCACAGAAUACUGUCUGGUGUCCUGUGUCUCUGGUAGAGAUAGUCUUAGGCCUAUUAGUCCCUUGCUGUAGCUUGGAUGCUUAAGGCCAUCUCUCCUGAGUAGGCACAGCAGAAAGCUACUUGGUUUCCAUGUCUGCGGCCAUCUCAGUCCUGGCCUCCCUGUCACAGCUAUUUGGCUUUCUGUGUCAUGAACUCCCUGAGCUCACCGGCUCAGGGAAAAUAAAACACCGAGCUAUUUUUGAGGACUGGCAGACUUGAGGAGGCUCACAAAAGUGAAACCUUUUAGUUAAUGCACCCCUAUCUGCCCCGCUCCCUUCUGCUUGCCUUCUCUUUAAAACAGGGUGGGAGUCCUGUUUAAAGUUAAUCUUAACAGCAUACUUUGCCCUGGGUGGUGAGAUCAUAAACUCAGCUGAAGGAACUGACUUGACUCUGGGUUUCUCAGCAAAACUUACUCAAAAUGUUCAUUGUUCCAUCCUAGAGGGUUGAAUAUGCAAAUCAGCAUUCCUGGCAAUGUUCAACUCUAACACUAGGUCUUUUUUGGCAAGCUUGUCAGUGACCAAAGUUAGGUUAAAAUUCAUCCUGGGAGAGAGUGUUGCAAUCCCAGACCACCAAAUGUGGUUUAAUUAAAAAAGGACAGCACAUAUUUCUCACAGUUCUGGACAUCGGGGUAUGUAGGACAAGAUGAAAACACCUAGCUGGGUUCCUUCAUGAAGGAAAAGCAAUGAGUAAACAAGAGCAAGCAAAUGAGAAAGGGCUGAAACCUAUUUUUACAAUUUUUAUGGUGUGUGUGUGUGUGUGUGUGUGUGUGUGUGUGUGUGUGUGUGUGUGUAUUCUAGUGUUAAUGUAAGGGUGCCAUCAUGUGAGUGUGAAGAUCAAAUCACACCUGUGGGUACCAGUCUUUGCUUUCCAUCUUGCUUGAGGCAAGGGUCCCCUGUUGUGUUUCCUCCUUGAACCCCAAGAGCUUCUUGGGAUUUACCUGUCUUUACUUUCCAUCUUCUGCAGGAGCUCCAUGUUUGCAGAUGCCUGCUCUACAGGUGUGGGGUUUAUGUGGGUUGGGGGAAUUCAAACUCACAUCCUCAUGAUUGUAGAGGAAGCAUUUUUACCCACUGAGAUUUUCCAAAACCUAAGGUGGUUUUUAAUAAGCACAUUCAUAUCAUUAACCUAUCCCAUGAUAAUGACAAUAACUUGUUCUGUUCAUCCAUUCUGCUCUCUACAUGGGACCUACUCUCCUCUUAACGGUGCCACUUCCAAUGGCAUUGCAUUGGAGAAUAUGUUUCUGACAGCUGAUCUUUGGAGAAUACAUUGAAACCAUGGCAAGUAUGAGAGAGAAACCUUUUGAAAAUAGUGCAACUGGGAGAAGGCAAUCAAGACAGAGCUAUGGAGACUUUGGAGGUGUGUGGGCAGAACCCAGGCUGACUUAUUGAAAGGGAUAAGUUACGGGGAGGUCCUGGAAUAGAAGUGUAGCUGCCCAGCAGGCUGAAUCCAACUGGCUGAAUUAUCUCCAUGAUAUAGCAGGAGGAAAACCCCUUUCUCCAAUCCCAGGUCACAUGAAACAAGCAGUGCAGAUCCUUGAUGUGCUGCACCGUGGCAGGAGAAGACUAGGAUGAGAGGAUGAAAGCUAGGAGAUGUUCUAGACAGCCAGCCCAUAAUUUAGGGAAAACAUGGAAAGAAGGAAGCUCCUCUCAGGUCAUGACAGUUUUAUCCUAAUUUGCAAAGCAAACUUGAUUUUCAGUUCUAAAGAUCCCUCAACACUGAAGACGGGACAGGGUGGUCAGAGGACAGGAUCCCCAAGUGCAGCUCACGGAUAUGCUUUUUACCCUCCCUUGGAGACUUUCUUAAAGAACAGAUCACAAGUCCCAGCCCAGAAACCCCAAAGGAAACAUUCAAUCAUCUGGGACAAAGGGUAAAUUAGAAGAGGAGGUUGAACCCGAUGGAAUCAGUCUGGAGACUCCUUCCACAGGUGAUUGAAGGAUAGAAGUAGCUGGGAACAAGCAGAUCCAGUGCAGCUGCAGGAACAGAGCUGCUGCAUAACUGGAUUUACGGUCCUGGAACAGGGGGAAUGUUCCUCUAGCACUUAGUGCUGUGUUUAAAGACAAGAGAGCUUGUUUGCUUUCUCUAUUCCAUUAAAAGUUUAGUGUGCACUUUGCUCUUUUAAUGAAGCAAAAGGGCAAGAACAUACUUCUCUUUCCUUCAGUAUUUAUGACCAGAAGGAAUCUCUCAGACAGCUCAUCUAGGUCUAGAAGAAACACAGACUCUUCUUCUGCCUAACUUAAUAGCAAUGGAUACGGGGGUUAAAUCCAUGUCAUUGGUCUGGUGUGAGCCUAGACUUUGAAACAGUGUGAUCAUAGUCAAUGCACCAUACUAAGAGCUCUGAGCUUACAUAGGGGGAAUUCUGAAUUAUCCAAAGGAAAGCAACAGGCACUGGAACCUGAGUUACUUCCUCCCUUGUUGCUUCUGGGUGCAUCUCAAAAAUGAUAAACAGAAAUGAAGGAACAAACACAAAAAUAAUUUAAAAUUUUUCAAUCCAUGACCCUUUUGCAAUUGAUAUUGUAUAUGUCAAUUUCUUUAUUCCAUAGAAGAUGUUAAGGCAAUAUAUGGACAAUAAAACAGAAAAAUGUUUAACAUCAUCAGUGACUAUAUGAACAUGAAAGUGUCAUUACAUACCACUUUACACCCUUUAAAACAGAUGAGGUAGAAAAGACAGUAGCAAACAUUAUCAGAAUAUAUAGAUAUACUAAAAUCAUUGUAAGUUUGAUGAUAGGAAUAUAACAUGCUAUUUGGAAAUCAUUUGUCAGUUACUCAUAGUGUUAAAAGGAAUUAUCAUGUGACCUACUGAUUUUACUACUAGUUAUAUGCCAAAGAGAAAUAAAAAAUCCAUCUCCAUAUACUUGUGUAUAUGAGCAAUUUACAGCAGCAUUUGCAAUAAUACUGUGAAGUUGAAGCCCACUCUAAGGUGAUUAAGAGAUAAACAAAAGUUGUUUGUCCUUUCAGUGCUAUAUUACCCUGAAAUGAAAAGGACGGAAGCACCAGCAAAUGUAUGACAUGGAUGAAUCUUGAAUACCCACACAUUGCUCAAUUUGAUUACUAAGAAAUAUCUAGAAUAUAAAAAUCUAUGUCUAGAGGAAGUCCACUUGUGGUUGACUAGGAUGAUUUAAUUGGGAAGUCAAGCAGAACAUGGGUGUAACUAUUGGUGCUAAUGAGCCUGAGGUUUCCUUUUGGGCGAUAAAAAAAUGUGAAAUUUCAAUGAUAGUGACAGCUGUACAUAUCUGUGAAUAAGAUAGCUCAAAAUAAGAUCAUGACAAAAGGAAAAAGAUGGAAAAACCAGGACCUUCCAUCUCUUGCCCAUUUCCUAAUACCCUGCACAUGAGAGAGGUUACUCAGAGCAAUGGCAACCAGAUCCUAAAACUACCAGAUGUCAAAUGGCUAAGUCAUUUUCUAUUAAUGAUAAACACAUGGUUAUGGUUUUAAGUUUGGAAUUCUAAGCUCAACACAAGACAAUGUUUUAAUUUUUCUUCCUUUUUUUCUUUGUUGUUUGAUAGUAAGAUAAAUGACAUCUGUCAUAUAAAAUGGCAAAUAUUUAUGAUUACAAUUCCUAAAGCCAGGCUAAAAAAAUUAAAGAGGAUAAGGUUAGCUCCAUUAACCACCUGGUUCGGGUAUCUGAUAUAUGGUGUUCCUGAAUAAAGGAUGUCCUCUUUAUUUGUUGUCUAAAACAUUAAUUAGGUCUAACCAAUUGUGGGACUUUGCCAAUCCAAUGUAGGAAGGCAAAGACAGUUUUACAGUAUUUGUAGAUUACAUUUGGGGUCUGGAUCUGUGUAAAGGAGAUGAUUCAUUGCAUAUGUUUCAUUGAAGAACUUGCAUAAUAAUAACCCAGGAAUGAUAAUUACAAGCAUUUAAAUCACCUUCCAGAUUACUUUAUAAUCCACUGCUUUGAUAAAGGAACCCAACACCCACGUAAAGGGCAUGGUACCUGUGGCUAGAGAAAUCAUAGACCUUAGGGGACAGCCUAUAUUGAUAUGUUUUUCUAAGUGCCAUGUUGUCCAACCACCUUCUAAAUAGCUAUGUUUAUUUGUAUCCAUAAGUAUGUACUUCUCCCAACCUCAGAGACGCUUCUUAUUGCAUGAGUAAUAGUUACUCGGAGAUGUAGUGCUGUUCAAAGUGCUGAGAACAAGUGACUGAGUGGUCAGCCAUAGAAAAAAGAUCUACAUCAACCCCUCCCAGGAACAUGGAAGAAGAGAAGGCAGAAAGAAUGCAAUAGGUGGAGAAUGGGGGAGCACGUGCUGUGAAAUGCUGCCCUCUGGUCAUGACACAGCUAUUGCACACUUGAACUCACAGCAGUGGUGGCUUCUUAAACAAAACCUCCACAAGAUGGGGCCAGUUGGAAACUCCAGUUUAGAGGCAUAGGAGAAUACUACUGGAAACACCAGAGAAAGAGAAUUGUUUCUCAUUUGUAAUUUUGAAUGACAAGGGAGAGUCAGAUCUGGAAAUAAUAGAAACUGCAGAAAGGGUGGCCAGACUAUCACUAAACAAUUCUGUCAAGAAAUAAAUGCUACACACCAGACAUACCUGGGGUUUGGGAGAUCAGAUCAGAAAUAUUUUUUUUCUUUAUUUGGGAAAGGUUUGGGUAACAGUCAGAAACUCUAACUGAAUAAUGUAGGUUUCCAUAUUGGCACAUUUUUGACCAGGAAACUGUGUGUGUGUGUGUGUGUGUGUGUGUGUGUGUGUGUG
rnacentral:lncRNA from 1 species